rnacentral:lncRNA from 1 species
GUCACAGCUGGUACAGGUGAGUGCAGGUGGGAGCCCCGCCCCUGCAAAGCAUUGCACUCACCUGCACCGGCUGCUACAGUUUUGCAGCCGAGUGCAAACCAUCAAACUGCACAGUUUAUGCCAACGGUGCUGGAAACACGAAUGUUCUAUCGUUUGCGCAAUGUUUACCCAACAACCAUUUACCCCUUGGGUUCCUAUAACCCCAUAGCCUGAUCAGCUUCCCCANUGGCUGCUGUGCCCUCACACCUCCCCCUGCUAACUCAAGGAAGCAGAGGAGAUGAAAGCACGGUUGUCAUCCCCCCCCCCCGAUAUCUUCUCUGUUGCACACUUGUUCCUUUCUGUCAGUUCCUUCCACUAAUGGCUGCAACUUUUUUUCCCCCCACUUCUACUUACGAAAUUCCCUGUCCCUGAUCGCAUCUCUCACCCUCUGCAGUCGGCAUUCACGCUGGAUCACUGCUACCUUUCGUACAGCGAAAUGGAUAAAAGCAACGUCAGCCCUACCACGCGAGUGAAUGAGAUCAUGUCUUCGUGGAAGAAACAGCUCAUGCAAGAGGAAGCCGUUCCCGUUGAGCCGGAGCGCCCUGGGUCAUCCAGUGACGAGAACAGCGACAUCACUUGGACACCGUCAGGCAAGAGAGGGAAGUCAUCUUUGGUGGCCUUUCCGAAGAAGACCAAAAAAGUAGUGAGGAGACAGAGGCGCCAGGCAGUAGCCUGUGGGAAACGCGGUGCCUCUGCACCUCUGCAGCUGAAGAAGAAAUGUGUGAAUGGCUUUAUCAUGUUCUGCNGACUGAACCGCAAGCACUACAUCCGGUGAGACUCUUGAGGAUCAAACUCUUCCGACAGGAAUAGAACCAUCUGGUCACACUGUUCCUUCUAACCUCUUAGUUCUACCUCCUGUCCCCACACCUUACUUUUUCAUNGUUUGCUUUCAAAAUGUAAUCAUUGCCAUCAGUCAGUGUAUAUUUUUCUUGGCAGUGCUUGCCCAGGCAUGGCAUCCACGGCUGCCACAAGAGAGCUAGCCCAGCUGUGGCGAAUGAUGACAAAGCAAGAACGGAGACCAUAUUGGUAUGUCUGGUGGUGGUUAAAAUGGGCUGUGAAACUUGGCGGAGAGUGGAAAUUCUGUGGUUCUCUGGUUGUUNCGCCUAUAAUUCUUGACCGUCAGCCCUUCUGUGCAGCUGAGACUGAUGGGAACUAGGGUUUAGGGAAAUCUGGAGGGCUGCCACAAUCUCACCCCAAUCUGAAGUAGUUACUUGGCUAAUUAUCCAAUAGGUUCUAGGCAUAAUGAUGGCAGUAUUCGUAGCAAAAUGGCUAUCACCAAUAACUAUCAGCAAGAAAGAACUACUAAAGUGUCAGGUUUAUUGCAUAGGAGUGCUCUUCUUCUCUUCCAGCAUGAAAGCGCGAAGAUUCAGCCGCUUGAAUAAUCGCAUCGUCCGGGAUGAUUUCUCCAGUGGGGAGGAGGACCCAGAGCCACCCAAACCUUUCCAUCUGCUGCUUGCUGAGAAGUCUCUCCCUAGCGUCCAGAACUUUGCUGACCUCUCUUUACUAGAGCUUCUUCCCUGAUUUUUCAGGCUAUGUCCUAUCUGUUGCCCAGAAAAUAACGGUCCCUCUGGUCUGUUCCGCGUGGUUCCCGAAUUUGCUGUGGAAUGCACACUUUCUUCAUUUGCAGAAAACACACCAGGUGAUAGGAACUUCNUGGACUCCAUCGGUUUUGGGAAGGUCAUACAGGGAUGUCAGGCUUCUAUCAUCUAUCCAGAUGUCUCCCCAGAUGUCCCUCUACAGAUACCACCAUUGUAUCAUCAGUUGUUGUGCAUCUAAAUUCCCAAAGCCAGAUCCUUGAGAACAGAGAAAGCACCAUCUCCAAUUCUUCAGUGACCCCCAUGCAUUUUAUGCUGUGCUGUAUCAAAGGUCAACAGGCAGGUCUUUGGUGGUCUUGGAUAUAGCAAGAGAUAAGGGGUCCAGCAGCACUGGCAAAGAAAAGGAAAGUUUCUGGGCCUUGCUGGUAGAACCAUGCCAGGCCACUUGAAAAAUGCAAUCCUGUGUAUCUUCAUUCAUGUGUAGUUUGAGCCUAGGAGAUGGUUCCAGGUUUUUUUGGUGUUCCAAUUCCUGUUGGACUAGCCAACUAUCAGGGAUAAGAGAAAUUUAGCAAUAUCUGAAAGGUAAUGGAUUGGCCACAUUCAGUGUAGAGUCAGUACACUAAUCAGAAAGGACGGGUACACUUCUGAAGGCUGUGGGUGGAUUUUUAAACAUUAACUCCUCUUCUUUUUUUAACCAUGACUUUUCCCAACAGUCUGCUUUUAAACACCCCAAGGCUGUAUUUAUUGCNGACAUUUUUAGCUCCUUGUUGUCAUUGUUGGCUUACGUCAGAGAGUUUUAUCGUAUUUAAUGCAGUCAGGUUUCGUUAGCAAUGCUUUAGCUUUCGCGGAGCGUUUCACGAUGAUAGGAAAUAGUUUUGAAUCCUGACAUGAACUUACUUGUUCCACAGCUUUGCUACAUAAGAGACUAGUUCACGGGUUUCUUUGCUUUUACUUGGAACAAGUGAAUAAGUUCUUUAAAUUGUCCAGAGUACCACUGGACUCUGCUACCCCUGGGCUGCAGACUUGCACAUCAAAGAUCCUUAGGGAAGUUUUAGGNCUCCGUUGUCCUGAACUAAUAAAAAUCAGUUUAGAACCGAGGUGGCA